GUCAAAUGUAAACUCAAAAGACUGCCCCAAUCCCCAGUGACGUGAAUGUACCGAACAAUUCUUGGUUUACAGCAGCCAGAAUUGUUUGAUGAUGAACAGGUUAGAUAGGGACAGUGUUGCUGCAAAUAAAGCCUCCUGAUCAAUUUCCAUCAAUCAUCGAUGUUAAAAGGAAGCAACCUUUAAGUGACUAGCUUUAAAAAUAUACAUUGCUGAAGUCAGCAAGGGAGGACGUUUGUCAAUACAAAUUUUGUGGACCAG